GUUGCAAACUUCUUCGUCAGUGAGGCUAGGAAGUCUUUGAACAGGCCACCUGCUCGUAAAGUGCUUGACAAUUUGAUUUACAAUUACAGUCCUACAUAUUGUGGGAAGGCUGGGAAGGGAUAUGAUGAAGUGUAUAUAUUUGCAGAACCUUGAACUCUAGAUUUUAUGCAGGUGUAGGGAGGCAUUGUAAAUUGCAAUACUUGAAAAUUGGUAUGUAAAUUGUAAGAUUGUUGACAAUGAACAGGGCUUUAUGAAUAUGCUGGACUAAACAGCUUGUGUGGGCAUUUUCUAUAAUAUAUUCGGG
rnacentral:misc_RNA from 1 species